GACGAACGCUGGCGGCGUGCUUAACACAUGCAAGUCGAACGGAGAGGCCCUGCCUUGGUGGUGUGCUCGAGUUGCGAACGGGUGAGUAACGCGUGGGUAACCUGCCCUUGACUUUGGGAUAACUUCAGGAAACUGGGGCUAAUACCGGAUAGGAGCACCUGCUGCAUGGUGGGGGUUGGAAAGUUGCGGCGGAUGGGGAAGGACGUGCGGCUGCUCAGCUUGUGGGAGGGGUAGCGGCUAACGCAGGCUUUGGCGGGUAGCCGGACUGAGAGGGUGACCGGCCACAUAGGGACUGAGGUACGGCCCAGACGGAUACGGGAGCAAGCAGUGGAGAAUAGUGCACGAUGGGCGGAAGCAGGAAGCAGGAACGCCGCGUCGGGGAUGACGGUCGUAGGGUUGUAAACCGCUUUCGCCUGGGACGAAGAGAGUGUGACGGUAAUUUGUAAAGAAGCACCGGCUAACUACGUG
rnacentral:rRNA from 1 species